rnacentral:rRNA from 1 species
GACGAACGCUGGCGGCGUGCUUAACACAUGCAAGUCGAACGAGAAAGCCCUUCGGGGUAAGUACAGUGGCGAACGGGUGAGUAACACGUGGGCAACCUGCCCCAGAGAGCGGGACAACCCGGGGAAACCCGGGCUAAUACCGCAUGAUGCGUCUCCACUUAAGUGGAGCCGCCAAAUGGUAGCUUCGGCCUCCGCUCUGGGAUGGGCCCGCGCCGGAGUAGCUAGUUGGUUGGGGUAACGGCCCACCAAGGCGACGAUCCGUAGCUGGUCUGAGAGGACGAUCAGCCACACUGGGACUGAGACACGGCCCAGACUCCUACGGGAGGCAGCAGUGGGGAAUCUUGCGCAAUGGGCGAAAGCCUGACGCAGCAACGCCGCGUGGGGGAAGAAGGCCUUUGGGUUGUAAACCUCUUUCAGUAGGGACGAAGCUUCCGGGGUUAAUAGCCUACGGGGUGACGGUACCUACAGAAGAAGCCCCGGCUAACUACGUGCCAGCAGCCGCAGUAA